UACGUAGGGGGCAAGCGUUGUCCGGAAUCAUUGGGCGUAAAGAGCGUGUAGGCGGCCCUGUAAGUCCGUUGUGAAAGUCGAGGGCUCAACCCUGGAAUGCCGGUGGAAACUGUCGGGCUGGAGUCCGGAAGAGGCGAGUGGAAUUCCUGGUGUAGCGGUGAAAUGCGCAGAUAUCAGGAGGAACACCAAUGGCGAAGGCAGCGCGCUGGGACGGUACUGACGCUGAGACGCGAAAGCGUGGGGAGCAAACAGG
rnacentral:rRNA from 1 species